rnacentral:snRNA from 1 species
AUACUUACUUGGACGGGGUCAAUGGGCGAUCAACAAAGCCCAUGGCUUAGGUUGAUGACUUCCAUUGCACUUUGGAAGGGUGUUAAUCUAAGGUCUAUAUUAUAGAUGGAGCCUAUGUCAUAAUUUGUGGUAGAAGGGGGCCUGCGUUUGCGCGAACCAUGC